rnacentral:lncRNA from 1 species
UAGUUGAGACCACUGACCCUUCAACUGGGUCUGCAUGGGUGCCUGAGAGGUGGCCUUUUGAUAUCAGAGGGUCAAAAACUCCACCCUCAAGAUCAUGCUAAUGUUGCCAUUUUCUGUACAUAUGUCCUGUGAACUGUUCGUCCACCUCAUCUCUUGGUGACCUAGUGUGUAAAUCUUUUCUCUUUUGCAGAAUCUAUGUCACAGUGAUUGAUUUACUGCAUAUGAGCAGAAUGAACCUGGACCUGGCCAGUAUCAUUAAGCUGUGUUUCCCCUGAAGUUAUGUGAAAAGCAUUUGUGGAUUUAACAGAGUUAAGGGUCUCACUUCAUCACCUAGACUGGAGUACAGUAGCACAGUUGCAGCUUCCUACAUCUUGACUUCCUGGGUUCCAGUGAUCCUCCCCCUUCAGCCUCUCAAUGAUAUUUCUCAAUAGAUACCAGGUUAACAGCUCUAGUACUGCUAUACAUGUGUACUGAAAUUGAACAGUUAAAUAAAUGGAGGACAUCCACGUUUAUCACUGAUGGAGUGGGAGUUUACAGAUAAGCAGGAGGAGGAGGCCAGAAAGAUGCAUGUGGUGAUGGAUUAGAAUUGGAGACAUCCUGCCCUCAAGGAGAGAGAACAUAAAAGAACAUAAAUCCGCUUUUCAUCAAUGUGAGCUGCACCAACUUACCUCCUCCCAAAGAGCACAAAAUAGAAAGGAACGAAAAGAAAAGAGCAACUUUACAGUGAAGAAACCUACAAACACUACCUCAGCCAGCAGAGAGAGAAAGAAAGCAGAGCUCUUUGAAGCAGAGAAAGAAAGCAGAAAGCAGAGAUCUUUGAAGGCUUAAGAA